rnacentral:rRNA from 1 species
UACGUAGGGGGCCAGCGUUGUCCGGAUUUAUUGGGCGUAAAGAGCGCGCAGGCGGUCGUUCAAGUCGCGUGUGAAAGCCCCCGGCUCAACUGGGGAGGGUCACGCGAUACUGAUCGACUCGAAGGCAGGAGAGGGAAGUGGAAUUCCCGGUGUAGUGGUGAAAUGCGUAAAUAUCGGGAGGAACACCAGUGGCGAAGGCGACUUCCUGGCCUGUUCUUGGCGCUGAGGCGCGAAAGCUAGGGGAGCAAACGGG